rnacentral:rRNA from 1 species
GACGAACGCUGGCGGCGUGCUUAACACAUGCAAGUCGAACGGAAAGGCCUCUUUUGGGGGGUACUCGAGUGUCGAACGGGGGAGUAACACAUGAGUAUCAUGCCCUUUAGUUUUUGAUAUCUUCAGAGAACUGUGGCUAUUAUCGGAGAGGAGCUCCUCCGGCGUGGUGGGGGUUGUGAAGUGUCUCGGGGGUUGGGGAUGGUCUCGCGGCAUAUCAGCUUGUUGGUGGGGUAGUGGUUUACCAAGGUUUUGACGGGUAGCCGGGCUGAGAGGGUGACCGGCCAAAUUGGGACUGAGAUACGGCCCAGACUCCUACGGGAGGGAGCAGUGGGGAAUAUUGCACAAUGGGUGGAAGCCUGAUGCAGCAACGCCGGGUGCGGGAUGACGGCCUUCGGGUUGUAAACCGCUUUCGCUCAUGACGAAGCUUUGUGUGACGGUAGUGGGUAAAGAAGCACCGGCUAACUACGUG